ACCUGGGUGGCUCAGUUGGUUGAAUGUCUGACUUUGACUCAGGUCAUGAUCUUGUAGUUCACAGGUUCGAGUCCUGUGUCAGGCU
rnacentral:tRNA from 1 species